rnacentral:rRNA from 1 species
CUACAGGCUUAACACAUGCAAGUCGAGGGGCAGCAUUUUAGUUUGCUUGCAAACUAAAGAUGGCGACCGGCGCACGGGUGAGUAACACGUAUCCAACCUGCCGAUAACUCGGGGAUAGCCUUUCGAAAGAAAGAUUAAUAUCCGAUAGUAUAUUAAAACCGCAUGGUUUUACUAUUAAAGAAUUUCGGUUAUCGAUGGGGAUGCGUUCCAUUAGUUUGUUGGCGGGGUAACGGCCCACCAAGACUACGAUGGAUAGGGGUUCUGAGAGGAAGGUCCCCCACAUUGGAACUGAGACACGGUCCAAACUCCUACGGGAGGCAGCAGUGAGGAAUAUUGGUCAAUGGACGAGAGUCUGAACCAGCCAAGUAGCGUGAAGGAUGACUGCCCUAUGGGUUGUAAACUUCUUUUAUAUGGGAAUAAAGUAUUCCACGUGUGGGAUUUUGUAUGUACCAUAUGAAUAAGGAUCGGCUAACUCCGUGCCAGCAGCCGCGGUAAUACGGAGGAUCCGAGCGUUAUCCGGAUUUAUUGGGUUUAAAGGGAGCGUAGGUGGAUUGUUAAGUCAGUUGUGAAAGUUUGCGGCUCAACCGUAAAAUUGCAGUUGAAACUGGCAGUCUUGAGUACAGUAGAGGUGGGCGGAAUUCGUGGUGUAGCGGUGAAAUGCUUAGAUAUCACGAAGAACUCCGAUUGCGAAGGCAGCUCACUAGACUGCAACUGACACUGAUGCUCGAAAGUGUGGGUAUCAAACAGGAUUAGAUACCCUGGUAGUCCACACAGUAAACGAUGAAUACUCGCUGUUUGCGAUAUACAGUAAGCGGCCAAGCGAAAGCAUUAAGUAUUCCACCUGGGGAGUACGCCGGCAACGGUGAAACUCAAAGGAAUUGACGGGGGCCCGCACAAGCGGAGGAACAUGUGGUUUAAUUCGAUGAUACGCGAGGAACCUUACCCGGGCUUAAAUUGCAUUUGAAUAAUCUGGAAACAGGUUAGCCGCAAGGCAAAUGUGAAGGUGCUGCAUGGUUGUCGUCAGCUCGUGCCGUGAGGUGUCGGCUUAAGUGCCAUAACGAGCGCAACCCUUAUCUUUAGUUACUAACAGGUCAUGCUGAGGACUCUAGAGAGACUGCCGUCGUAAGAUGUGAGGAAGGUGGGGAUGACGUCAAAUCAGCACGGCCCUUACGUCCGGGGCUACACACGUGUUACAAUGGGGGGUACAGAAGGCAGCUACCUGGCGACAGGAUGCUAAUCCCAAAAACCUCUCUCAGUUCGGAUCGAAGUCUGCAACCCGACUUCGUGAAGCUGGAUUCGCUAGUAAUCGCGCAUCAGCCAUGGCGCGGUGAAUACGUUCCCGGGCCUUGUACACACCGCCCGUCAAGCCAUGAAAGCCGGGGGUACCUGAAGUACGUAACCGCAAGGAGCGUCCUAGGGUAAAACUGGUAAUUGGGGCUAAGUCGUAACAAGGUAGCCGUACCGGAAGGUGCGGCUG